GAACGCUGAAGAGAGGAGCUUGCUCUUCUUGGAUGAGUUGCGAACGGGUGAGUAACGCGUAGGUAACCUGCCUUGUAGCGGGGGAUAACUAUUGGAAACGAUAGCUAAUACCGCAUAACAAUGGAUGACACAUGUCAUUUAUUUGAAAGGGGCAAUUGCUCCACUACAAGAUGGACCUGCGUUGUAUUAGCUAGUAGGUGAGGUAAUGGCUCACCUAGGCGACGAUACAUAGCCGACCUGAGAGGGUGAUCGGCCACACUGGGACUGAGACACGGCCCAGACUCCUACGGGAGGCAGCAGUAGGGAAUCUUCGGCAAUGGGGGCAACCCUGACCGAGCAACGCCGCGUGAGUGAAGAAGGUUUUCGGAUCGUAAAGCUCUGUUGUAAGUCAAGAACGGGUGUGAGAGUGGAAAGUUCACACUGUGACGGUAGCUUACCAGAAAGGGACGGCUAACUACGUGCCAGCAGCCGCGGUAAUACGUAGGUCCCGAGCGUUGUCCGGAUUUAUUGGGCGUAAAGCGAGCGCAGGCGGUUUGAUAAGUCUGAAGUUAAAGGCUGUGGCUCAACCAUAGUUCGCUUUGGAAACUGUCAAACUUGAGUGCAGAAGGGGAGAGUGGAAUUCCAUGUGUAGCGGUGAAAUGCGUAGAUAUAUGGAGGAACACCGGUGGCGAAAGCGGCUCUCUGGUCUGUAACUGACGCUGAGGCUCGAAAGCGUGGGGAGCGAACAGGAUUAGAUACCCUGGUAGUCCACGCCGUAAACGAUGAGUGCUAGGUGUUGGAUCCUUUCCGGGAUUCAGUGCCGCAGCUAACGCAUUAAGCACUCCGCCUGGGGAGUACGACCGCAAGGUUGAAACUCAAAGGAAUUGACGGGGGCCCGCACAAGCGGUGGAGCAUGUGGUUUAAUUCGAAGCAACGCGAAGAACCUUACCAGGUCUUGACAUCCCGAUGCUAUUUCUAGAGAUAGAAAGUUACUUCGGUACAUCGGUGACAGGUGGUGCAUGGUUGUCGUCAGCUCGUGUCGUGAGAUGUUGGGUUAAGUCCCGCAACGAGCGCAACCCCUAUUGUUAGUUGCCAUCAUUCAGUUGGGCACUCUAGCGAGACUGCCGGUAAUAAACCGGAGGAAGGUGGGGAUGACGUCAAAUCAUCAUGCCCCUUAUGACCUGGGCUACACACGUGCUACAAUGGUUGGUACAACGAGUUGCGAGUCGGUGACGGCGAGCUAAUCUCUUAAAGCCAAUCUCAGUUCGGAUUGUAGGCUGCAACUCGCCUACAUGAAGUCGGAAUCGCUAGUAAUCGCGGAUCAGCACGCCGCGGUGAAUACGUUCCCGGGCCUUGUACACACCGCCCGUCACACCACGAGAGUUUGUAACACCCGAAGUCGGUGAGGUAACCUUUUGGAGCCAG
rnacentral:rRNA from 1 species